GACGAACGCUGGCGGCGUGCUUAACACAUGCAAGUCGAACGGUAAGGCCCUUCGGGGUACACGAGUGGCGAACGGGUGAGUAACACGUGGGUGAUCUGCCCCGCACUUCGGGAUAAGCCUGGGAAACUGGGUCUAAUACCGGAUAGGACCACUGCCUGCAUGGGUGGUGGUGGAAAGCUUUUGCGGUGUGGGAUGGGUCCGCGGCCUAUCAGCUUGUUGGUGGGGUGAUGGCCUACCAAGGCGACGACGGGUAGCCGGCCUUAGAGGGUGACCGGCCCAGUUGGGACUGAGAUACGGCCCAGACUCCUACGGGAGGCAGCAGUGGGGAAUAUUGCACAAUGGGCGCAAGCCUGAUGCAGCGACGCCGCGUGAGGGAUGACGGCCUUCGGGUUGUAAACCUCUUUCAGCUAUGACGAAGCGCAAGUUACGGUAGUAGCAGAAGAAGGACCGGCCAACUACGUGCCAGCAGCCGCCGUAA
rnacentral:rRNA from 1 species